CUGCACUUUAUCAACAUAAGAUGCCAUAUACUAAUAUCUAAUAUGUGCGCUACCAUUCAAAGGUUUGGAGUGCGCAAGAUUCUAAUGUAUUCGAAAGCUAUCAUUUGCUCACUAAGGCUGCAUUUAUUUAAUCAAAAAAGUACAGUAAAAAACGUAAUAUUGUGACCUUUUUUUUUCAGGAUUCUUUGAUGAAUAGAACGUUCAAAAGAACAGCAUUUACUUAAAAUAGGCUUUCUUGAAAUAGAAAUCUUUUGAAGAAUUGUCUUUACUGACACUUUUGAUCAAUGUAAUGCAUCCUUACUGAGUAAAACUAUUAUUUUCUUUCAAAAUUAAAUGUUACUGAUCCCAAAGUUAGAAUGGUAUUGUAUAAAUUGGAUUUCUAAAGCUCUUUCCCCUUUUGUAAAACAAAUUUUGUAGUCAAGGUUUUUUGAUAAGAUGAGACAUAAAGGGAUACAACAAGAUACUAAAAAUAUCCAAAUCAGAAUAUUAAAAAACUUCAAUGCUUUUUAUUUCACUUAAACCCUUUUGUUUUGUCCCAUCUCUUUAUUCCAACACAUGCUAUUCUAGCUUAAAUCUAACAAGGUUUAGCUAAAGUUGAAUUGUUCUUCUUUUACACACUCUGGUGGAAAAUCUAUGACAGGAUGUAUAACAUCUCACUGUUAGUAAUGGUCAUUAUUGAAUGACAAAUCACCCAAAAAUAAACAGGAAGGAUAUUGAAAAGGAACUAAAAGGUAGAAAAUGUGUGAGAGAAGAAAAAUAAACUCACAAAAACCUUGCAUGUAUAAAUGCUUGCCCUCAUGUCAUGGGUCACCUUGUGUGAAUAUAAACAUGCAUUUGGAGUAAAAAAAAUAAAUAAAUAAAUAAAAACUCAGCAGAAGCAGACACAUCCUGCUCAACUUUCAAAUGUAACACAAUUAGCUUCCUCUACUGAUAAAAAAAAAAAACAUAAAAGUAAUGCUUUCUUAUCAUCUAGUUACCUUCCCUUUUUUUCGUAUGGUGAAGUACAGACUAGUUUGAUCCUGAUAAUCAAAUCUUGCACUCAUCAAAAGAGGAUGCACAUGAUAAACUCCACGUUCAGCGCUCGGCCCCUGUUAUUGCUUGCUGUAUCUUUCUAGAAGGGAGGACAGGACAGUAGUAUUAUAGUGAUCAGCUGGCGGGGAGGGUCUCAAGACCACAGCGGUCCAACAGCCCUUAUCGCUGCCUGAUCAUCCUCCGCUUCUGCUCUGCAAACAUCAUGCUGGACAUCUUGAUAUUGAUGUUCUUCGCCAUCAUCGGCCUCAUGUUCCUGUCCUACAUCAUCUACAUGCUGUGAUCGCCAUAGCAUCCAUGAGAGCGGAUGCGGGAUUCACGUCCUCGGGGGGAUUUGAACACAAAGCUUACAGGAAGAAGCGCUGUGUUUGUGGGAUCAUGUCUCUGGAUCCUGAGAUGAGGAACAGCUGUAACGAGAAUUCAGUAGAGGACGCAGCAGGAUACACUUACAAGAUGAGACUUCACACUUCCUUCUCAUCUCUCUGUCAUACAAACACUGUUCCUACAGGAUAGCACCUGACGACACACACACACACACACACACACACACACACACACACACACAACCUACACCAGACUGCUGUGUUUCUCCUACCUUUUAUUUAGAAGACACUAUUAAAAUAUAUUUACCUAAAGCCGCAGUCCAUGGCUGAAACAGUAGGCUACCACAAACUCUAAGGAUCUAUGGCUGUCUGGCUAUUAUUUGUGUCCUAUUCUUCUGUCUAUAAUUUCUGCACAUAUCUAUCUGAAAAUAUAUCUAUUUUCAAAUGCAUGUAUUUUAUGUCAAUGGAUGUUCAAAAAAUACCAAUUGAUUUUCAGAAUAAAGAGCCUUUGUGAGGAUGAAACGGC